AACGAACGCUGGCGGCGCGCCUAAUACAUGCAAGUCGAGCGAGAAGGUGUAGCAAUACACUUGUAAAGCGGCGAACGGGUGAGGAAUGCAUGGGUAACCUACCCUCGAGUGGGGAAUAACUAGCCGAAAGGUUAGCUAAUACCGCAUACGUUUCCGGAACUUCGGUUUCGGAAAGAAAGCAAUACCGUGGGUAUUGCGCUCCUGGAUGGGCUCAUGUCCUAUCAGCUUGUUGGUGAGGUAACGGCUCACCAAGGCUUCGACGGGUAGCUGGUCUGAGAGGACGAUCAGCCACACUGGCACUGCGACACGGGCCAGACUCCUACGGGAGGCAGCAGUAAGGAAUAUUGCGCAAUGGACGAAAGUCUGACGCAGCGACGCCGCGUG
rnacentral:rRNA from 1 species